GAGAAUUUAUGAGAGCUUCAUGCUUUCUAAAAUACCCUAUAAACCAUAAACACCUGUGCACCUUUUUUAUUAGGAAUCUGUUGCUGUAGUUACUAGUCUCUUCGGGGACAAACGCUUGGCGACCUUUUCUUAUACACACACAAACAUUAUAGUCUUGAAUGUAAUACAAAAUUGUAACAAAAAUA
rnacentral:misc_RNA from 1 species